AGUGAACGCUGGCGGUAGGCCUAACACAUGCAAGUCGAACGGCAGCACAGUAAGAGCUUGCUCUUACGGGUGGCGAGUGGCGGACGGGUGAGGAAUACAUCGGAAUCUACUUUUUCGUGGGGGAUAACGUAGGGAAACUUACGCUAAUACCGCAUACGACCUACGGGUGAAAGCUGGGGAUCUUCGGACCUUGCGCGAUUGAAUGAGCCGAUGUCGGAUUAGCUAGUUGGCGGGGUAAAGGCCCACCAAGGCGACGAUCCGUAGCUGGUCUGAGAGGAUGAUCAGCCACACUGGAACUGGGACACGGUCCAGACUCCUACGGGAGGCAGCAGUGGGGAAUAUUGGACAAUGGGCGCAAGCCUGAUCCAGCCAGACCGCGUGGGUGAAGAAGGCCUUCGGGUUGUAAAGCCCUUUUGUUGGGAAAGAAAAGCAGCAGGUUAAUACCCCGCUGUUCUGACGGUACCCAAAGAAUAAGCACCGGCUAACUUCGUG
rnacentral:rRNA from 1 species